UGCUGUACUCGGGUUUUCUCAU
rnacentral:piRNA from 1 species